rnacentral:rRNA from 1 species
UACAGGAGGUGCAAACGUUGCUCGGAAUUAUUGGGCGUAAAGCGCGCGUAGGCGGCCGCUUAAGUCGGAUGUGAAAGCCCCUGGCUCAACUGGGGAAGUGCACCCGAAACUGAGUGGCUUGAGUACUAAAGAGGGUCGCGGAAUUCCCGGUGUAGAGGUGAAAUUCGUAGAUAUCGGGAGGAACACCGGUGGCGAAGGCGGCGACCUGGGUAGAUACUGACGCUGAGGCGCGAAAGCGUGGGGAGCAAACAGG